rnacentral:rRNA from 3 species
UUGGAGGGCAAGUCUGGUGCCAGCAGCCGCGGUAAUUCCAGCUCCAAUAGCGUAUAUUAAAGUUGUUGCAGUUAAAAAGCUCGUAGUUGAAUUUCGGGGUCAGUAGGUUGGUCAUGCCACUGGUAUGUACUGGUCUCACUGAUUCCUCCUUCCUGAUGAGCUGUAAUGCCAUUAAUUUGGUGUUGCGGGGAAUCUGGACUGUUACUUUGAAAAAAUUAGAGUGUUUAAAGCAGGCUAACGCCUGAAUACAUUAGCAUGGAAUAAUGAAAUAGGACGUUCGAUCCUAUUUUGUUGGUUUCUAGGAUUGACGUAAUGAUUAAUAGGGAUAGUUGGGGGCAUUAGUAUUCAAUUGUCAGAGGUGAAAUUCUUGGAUUUAUUGAAGACUAACUACUGCGAAAGCAUUUGCCAAGGAUGUUUUCAUUAAUCAAGAACGAAAGUUAGGGGAUCGAAGACGAUCAGAUACCGUCGUAGUCUUAACCAUAAACUAUGCCGACUAGGGAUCGGAUGAUGUUAAUUUUUUAAUGACUCAUUCGGCGCCUUACGGGAAAC